GAUGAACGCUGGCGGCGUGCCUAAUACAUGCAAGUCGAGCGAACAGACGAGGAGCUUGCUCCUCUGACGUUAGCGGCGGACGGGUGAGUAACAUGUGGAUAACCUACCUAUAAGACUGGGAUAACUUCGGGAAACCGGAGCUAAUACCGGAUAAUAUAUUGAACCGCAUGGUUCAAUAGUGAAAGACGGUUUUGCUGUCACUUAUAGAUGGAUCCGCGCCGCAUUAGCUAGUUGGUAAGGUAACGGCUUACCAAGGCAACGAUGCGUAGCCGACCUGAGAGGGGGAUCGGCCACACUGGAACUUAGACACGGUCCAGACUCCUACGGGAGGCAGCAGUAGGGAAUCUUCCGCAAUGGGCGAAAGCCUGACGGAGCAACGCCGCGUGAGUGAUGACGGUCUUCGGAUCGUAAAACUCUGUUAUUAGGGAAGAACAAAUGUGUAAGUAACUAUGCACGUCUUGACGGUACCUAAUCAGAAAGCCACGGCUAACUACGUG
rnacentral:rRNA from 1 species